rnacentral:misc_RNA from 1 species
GGGUGAUGGAGGAAGGGGUAGAGGCAGAGGCGGUGGAGGUAGAGGCGGUGGUGGAGGCAGAGGUAUGCAAAGCCGCGGUGGUGGCCGCGGAGGAGGAAGAGGCCGUGGUGGAGGAAGAGGAGGUGGUAUGAAAGGUGGAAGCAAAGUUGUCAUUGAACCCCACAGACAUGAAGGGAUUUUCAUAGCCAAGGGUAAAGAAGAUGCUCUUGUCACGAAGAAUAUGGUCUCUGGAGAAUCUGUCUACAACGAGAAGAGGAUAUCCGUACAGAAUGAAGAUGGAACAAAAGUUGAAUACAGGGUUUGGAACCCAUUCAGAUCAAAGUUGGCGGCUGCUGUUCUUGGUGGUGUUGAUGACAUAUGGAUUAAACCUGGUGCUCGAGUGUUAUAUCUCGGUGCUGCUUCUGGGACUACUGUAUCUCAUGUCUCUGAUGUUGUUGGCCCCACUGGUAUAGUGUAUGCCGUGGAAUUCUCUCAUAGAAGUGGCAGAGAUUUGGUCAAUAUGGCAAAAAAGCGAACUAAUGUUAUACCCAUCAUUGAAGAUGCUAGACACCCAGCCAAGUACCGGAUGUUGGUUGGCAUGGUGGAUGUAAUAUUUUCUGAUGUCGCUCAGCCAGAUCAGGCAAGAAUUUUGGCCCUUAAUGCCUCGUAUUUUCUCAAACCCGGUGGUCAUUUCGUUAUAUCGAUUAAGGCCAACUGCAUAGACUCCACCGUUCCAGCAGAAGCAGUGUUUGCAAGUGAGGUGAAUAAGUUAAAAGCAGAUCAAUUUAAACCCUCCGAGCAAGUAACCCUCGAACCAUUCGAGCGAGAUCAUGCCUGUGUUGUUG